GGGGUUGUGGCCAAGCCCGGAAUGGCGACGGGCUCCAGCGGUCUUUGCGUUCAAAAAACGUGCUCGCAGAUGAUGAACAAUGGGUCUGCUGAAAUUGAUGAUGACCCGUUGGAGCACUGAUGCGCAUGUCGGAGAGACCCGUCGAUCGUGAGUUCAAAUCUCACCAACCCCA
rnacentral:tRNA from 1 species